UACGUAGGUGGCAAGCGUUGUUCGGAAUUAUUGGGCGUAAAGGGCGCGUAGGCGGUUUGUUAAGUCGGUUGUGAAAGCCCGGGGCUCAACCCCGGAGAGUCGACCGAUACUGGCAGACUAGAGUACAGAAGAGGUAGCUGGAAUUCCUGGUGUAGCGGUGAAAUGCGCAGAUAUCAGGAGGAACACCUGAGGCGAAGGCGGGCUACUGGGCUGAUACUGACGCUGAUGCGCGAAAGCCAGGGGAGCAAACGGG
rnacentral:rRNA from 1 species